AAGGAAUUAACUCUGUAAUAAACAGAUUAGUUAAACAAUUAAUAAACAAGUUAACUCUGUAAAUCCAGAGAUUAAUUAAAACUAAUCCAAUAUCCAGGAUAUAUGUGUUAUUAUGAAUAACAGAAUGAUGUGCAGGCAAUUAACCCAAAUAAAUAAGAAACUUAAGGAUACAUAUGCAAAAGUUUCAAUAAACAUAUGCGUUGGUAAUUAAAGGAAAGUUCGAGGUUACGAGUUCAAAAGUUUCAAUAAACAUGUGCCGAAGUAAUUAAAGGAAAGCUCGAGAUUACGAGUGCAAAAGUUUCAAUAAACAUGUGCCGAAGUGAUUAAAGGAAAGCUCGAGGUUACAAACGCAAAAGUUUCAAUAAACACGAUUUGUGAUUGAAAGAAGCUUGGGGUUAUUGUUGCAAAAGUUUCAAUAAGAUUAUAACGGAUUGUUUUACAUUGAUUAGUUAAUUAGUAGUUAAUCAGUCAGUGUAAUUCUAUAUAAGUAGAUCAUUAUUGUAAACUAAUACUCAUUCAAUUUUAUACAAAGUAUAUUCCAGUUAAACCCGG
rnacentral:lncRNA from 1 species